GGCGCUAUAGUGUAGUGGCUAUCACACGGGAUUUUGAAAUUCGAUUUGAAGUUCCCGCAACCCAGGUUCGAACCCUGGUAGUGCCU